GUAAAAAUCAGUAAUUAAUACAAAUCACAAGCUCAGCUGGAUUUUGAAUGAUAAACCGGUUUAGUGCAAAAGUGUGCAAGUGUAUUAGUGGGCAUAGAUAGUAGACAGCAAGCAAUUGCCCAGAAAAAAUCCCAAACUCUCCAAUUUUGUUGUGAGCGAAGAAUGGUGUGCUGUGCUAUACGGAAUAGAGAAUCCUAUGUGCUGCUCGCAAAUGCGCGAAUUAGUGGGCGUAGAGUUGCCAGACUGUAAAUUGAAUCGAAAUGUCAAUAUUAAGAGGAGGAAUAAGCAUCCUCAUAACAUCAUUACUUCUCUGAAAGUUGCAAUUAAUACCGUUUCUGCAAUCGUUUCUGGUCCCGGAUCGAGGAGGUUAUUGCAGCUAAUGGAAACUUUAUUGAAUGAUUUUUACAGAUAAGGUACUGUUGUGUAAAAAUUGAAGUUUCAUUAAAUUUUGUUCCAAAUUAAAGCUAAUUAGUUUUACUCUCAAGUUGUACUCAAAUACCAAAAUAUCUAUAAGGUUUAGUAGUGAUUUU